rnacentral:rRNA from 1 species
UACGGAGGGCGCGAGCGUUAAUCGGAAUUACUGGGCGUAAAGCGCGCGUAGGCUGUUGUGUAAGUUGGGGGUGAAAUCCCACGGCUCAACCGUGGAACAGCCCUUGAUACUGCGCGACUUGAAUCCGGGAGAGGGUGGCGGACUUCCAGGUGUAGGAGUGAAAUCCGUAGAUAUCUGGAGGAACAUCAGUGGCGAAGGCGGCCACCUGGACCGGUAUUGACGCUGAGGCGCGAAAGCGUGGGGAGCAAACAGG